AAAACAAACAAGUUCGAAUAUCCGCGUGUUUUUGGACUUUUGCAGUACACUACAAAACCUGAAGCAUAAUUAUUCAUUGGGUCCCGCGUUAAGGAUUCUACUUUGGCAAUUGAUUAAGCUAAACGACUAUGAAACACAUAAUAUGCUAACUUCAACGACUGCUAUUGCUACCAGUACUAGCAAAAGCCACCACCAGCAUCAAAUCCCAUUU